rnacentral:lncRNA from 1 species
UUCUCAAUGUCUCUCUUUUCCCUCAACCACACAUCUUCCUCACCAUCACCUUCUUCCACUCUCACUCGCCGCCACACACCACCAUAAACCCUUCUUCCAACUAUCAAUCACCUUCAACCAUAACAACCACCACGACUCCGAUCUUCCAUUUCCAACCACCCUUCCAAACCCACCAUCGGAGCUUCCGUUUCAUCAUCACCUUCGAACCACCACAAAACCAAAUCGCUCCAUCGAGCUCGCCGCGUGAAACACUCAACAACAACAACCACAAAGCCACCGCGCUUCCGUUCACCUUCGCCAUCAAUCGUCUUCAUCGCAAACCCACC